UAGGGAAUUUUCGUCAAUGGGGGACCGGUAGCACGAACGCAAUGCCGCAGCUGUGUGAAGAAGGUCUUCGGAUCGUAAAGCACUGUUGUAAGUGAAGAAUGCCACAUAGAGGAAAUGCUAUGUGGGUGACGGUAGCUUACCAGAAAGCCACGGCUAACUACGUGCCAGCAGCCGCGGUAAUACGUAGGUGGCAAGCGUUAUCCGGAAUCAUUGGGCGUAAAGGGUGCGUAGGUGGCACGAUAAGUCUGAAGUAAAAGGCAACAGCUCAACUGUUGUAUGCUUUGGAAACUGUCGAGCUAGAGUGCAGAAGAGGGCGAUGGAAUUCCAUGUGUAGCGGUAAAAUGCGUAGAUAUAUGGAGGAACACCAGUGGCGAAGGCGGUCGCCUGGUCUGUAACUGACACUGAUGUACGAAAGCGUGGGGGAGCAAAUAGGAUUAGAUACC
rnacentral:rRNA from 1 species